GACGAACGCUGGCGGCGUGCCUAAUACAUGCAAGUCGAGCGGACUGAUUAAGAGCUUGCUCUUAUGACGUUAGCGGCGGACGGGUGAGUAACACGUGGGCAACCUGCCCUGUAGAUCGGGAUAACACCGAGAAAUCGGUGCUAAUACCGGGUAAUAUCUGAGAUCACAUGAUCUUAGGUUAAAAGAUGGCUCCGGCUAUCACUACAGGAUGGGCCCGCGGCGCAUUAGCUAGUUGGUAAGGUAAUGGCUUACCAAGGCGACGAUGCGUAGCCGACCUGAGAGGGUGAUCGGCCACACUGGGACUGAGACACGGCCCAGACUCCUACGGGAGGCAGCAGUAGGGAAUCUUCCGCAAUGGCCGAAAGUCUGACGGAGCAACGCCGCGUGAGCGAUGAAGGGUUUCGGCUCUUAAAGCUCUGUUGUUAGGGAAGAAACAGUACCGAACGAACUAGGUCGGUACCUUGACGGUACCUAACCAGAAAGCCACGGCUAACUACG
rnacentral:rRNA from 1 species